GUGAGUGGCGAACGGGUGAGUAACACGUGGACAACCUGCCUCAAGGCUGGGGAUAACAUUUGGAAACAGAUGCUAAUACCGAAUAAAACUCAGUGUCGCAUGACACAAAGUUAAAAGGCGCUUUGGCGUCACCUAGAGAUGGAUCCGCGGUGCAUUAGUUAGUUGGUGGGGUAAAGGCCUACCAAGACAAUGAUGCAUAGCCGAGUUGAGAGACUGAUCGGCCACAUUGGGACUGAGACACGGCCCAAACUCCUACGGGAGGCUGCAGUAGGGAAUCUUCCACAAUGGGCGAAAGCCUGAUGGAGCAACGCCGCGUGUGUGAUGAAGGCUUUCGGGUCGUAAAGCACUGUUGUAUGGGAAGAACAGCUAGAAUAGGGAAUGAUUUUAGUUUGACGGUACCAUACCAGAAAGGGACGGCUAAAUACGUGCCAGCAGCCGCGGUAAUACGUAUGUCCCGAGCGUUAUCCGGAUUUAUUGGGCGUAAAGCGAGCGCAGACGGUUGAUUAAGUCUGAUGUGAAAGCCCGGAGCUCAACUCCGGAAUGGCAUUGGAAACUGGUUAACUUGAGUGCAGUAGAGGUAAGUGGAACUCCAUGUGUAGCGGUGGAAUGCGUAGAUAUAUGGAAGAACACCAGUGGCGAAGGCGGCUUACUGGACUGUAACUGACGUUGAGGCUCGAAAGUGUGGGUAGCAAACAGGAUUAGAUA
rnacentral:rRNA from 1 species